UCAAUCUUCUCAUUUCUUGAUAACAAUAUACAAAAUUUAGCAAAACAAGAACACUAAUAACACUAUCAAUCUUCUCAUUUCUUGAUAACAAUAUACAAAAUUUAGCAUAACAAGAACACUAACAACAUUAUCAAUCUCCUUAUUUCUUGAUAACAAUAUACAAAAUUUAGCAAAACAAGAACACUAAGAACACUAUCAAUCUUCUCAUUUCUUGAUAACAAUAUACAAAAUUUAGCAAAACAAGAACACUAAUAACACUAUCAAUCUUCUCAUUUGUUGAUAACAAUAUACAAAAUUUAGCAAAACAAGAACACUAAUAACACUAUCAAUCUUCUCAUUUGUUGAUAACAAUAUACAAAAUUUAGCAAAACAAGAACACUAAUAACACUAUCAAUCUUUUCAAUUUUUCAUAACAAUAUACAGGUAAGUAUGCUAAGAAAAAAGAAGCAAAAAAAUAACUCACGAAAUAGAGUCCUGAAGAUGUGCGUACGGAUAUAGGAAGCAGCGGUGUGGCCUUUGAAGCCAUCAUAAAUUCCAACGAAUAGUGCGUCAUGGCUUACAUCGUCGUAGUUGUGAUCUUCCAUAUCCUUAUUUGACUAACAGAAGCCAUGGAGAAUUCCCCAUGGCAAUGCCUUUCAUUUUUGGGAGAUUUUGGUAAAGGGUCAGCGUUAAAUGUUUCUUGAUAACAAGAACACUAAUAACACUAUCAAUCUUCUCAUUUCUUGAUAACAAUAUACAAAAAUUAGCAAAACAAGAACACUAAUAACACUAUCAAUCUUCUCAUUUCUUGAUAACAAUAUACAAAAUUUAGCAAAACAAGAACACUAAUAACACUAUCAAUCUUCUCAUUUCUUGAUAACAAUAUACAAAAAUUAGCAAAACAAGAACACUAAUAACACUAUCAAUCUUCUCAUUUCUUAAUAACAAUUUACAAAAUUUAGCAAAACAAGAACACUAAUAACACUAUCAAUCUUUUCAUUUCUUCAUAACAAUAUACAGGUAAGUAUGCUAAGAAAAAAGAAGCAAAAAAAUAACUCACGCAAUAGAGUCCUAAAGAUGUGCGUACGGAUAUAGGAAGCAGCGGUGUGGCCUUUGAAGCCAUCAUAAAUUCCAACGAACUGUGCGUCAUGGCUUACAUCGUCCUAGUUGUGACCUUCCAUAUCCUUAUUUAACUAACAGAAGCCAUGGAGAAUUCCCCAUGGCAAUGCCUUUCAUUUUUGGGAGAUUUUGAUAAAGGGCCAGCGUUAAAUGUUUCUUGAUAACAAGAACACUAAUAACACUAUCAAUCUUCUCAUUUCUUGAUAACAAUAUACAAAAUUUAGCAAAACAAGAACACUAAUAACACUAUCAAUCUUCUCAUUUCUUGAUAACAAUAUACAAAAUUUAGCAAAACAAGAACACUAAUAACACUAUCAAUCUUCUCAUUUCUUGAUAACAAUAUACAAAAUUUAGCAAAACAAGAACACUAAUAACACUAUCAAUCUUCUCAUUUCUUGAUAACAAUAUACAAAAUUUAGCAAAACAAGAACACUAAUAACACUAUCAAUCUUCUCAUUUCUUGAUAACAAUAUACAAAAUUUAGCAAAACAAGAACACUAAUAACACUAUCAAUCUUCUCAUUUCUUGAUAACAAUAUACAAAAUUUAGCAAAACAAGAACACUAAUAACACUAUCAAUCUUCUCAUUUCUUGAUAACAAUAUACAAAAUUUAGCAAAACAAGAACACUAAUAACACUAUCAAUCUUCUCAUUUCUUGAUAACAAUAUACAAAAUUUAGCAAAACAAGAACACUAAUAACACUAUCAAUCUUCUCAUUUCUUGAUAACAAUAUACAAAAUUUAGCAAAACAAGAACACUAAUAACACUAUCAAUCUUCUCAUUUCUUGAUAACAAUAUACAAAAUUUAGCAAAACAAGAACACUAAUAACACUAUCAAUCUUCUCAUUUCUUGAUAACAAUAUACAAAAUUUAGCAAAACAAGAACACUAAUAACACUAUCAAUCUUCUCAUUUCUUGAUAACAAUAUACAAAAUUUAGCAAAACAAGAACACUAAUAACACUAUCAAUCUUCUCAUUUCUUGAUAACAAUAUACAAAAUUUAGCAAAACAAGAACACUAAUAACACUAUCAAUCUUCUCAUUUCUUGAUAACAAUAUACAAAAUAGAGAGAUCAAAUACAAGAACACUAUAACACUAUCAAUCUCUCAUUUCUUGAUAACAUAUACAAAAUUUAGCAAACAAGAACACUAAUAACACUAUCAUCUUCUCAUUUCUUGAUAACAAUAUACAAAAUUUAGCAAACAAGAACACUAAUAACACUAUCAAUCUUCUCAUUUUCUGAUAACAAUAUACAAAAUUUAGCAAAACAAGAACACUAAUAACAUCUAUCAUCUCCUUAUUCUUGAUAACAAUAUACAAAAUUUAGCAAACAAGAACACUAAUAACAUUAUCAAUCUUCUCAUUUCUUGAUAACAAUAUACAAAAUUUAGCAAAACAAGAACACUAAUAACACUAUCAAUCUUCUCAUUUCUUGAUAACAAUACAAAAUUUAGCAAAAGAACAACUAUAACACUAUCAAUCUUUUCAUUUCUUGAUAACAUAUACAAAUUUAGCAAACAAGAACACUAAUAACACUAUCAUCUUCUAUUUUUGAUACAAAUAUAAAAAUUUAGCAAAACAAGAACACUAAUAACACUAUCAUCUUCUCAUUUCUUGAUAACAAUAUACAAAAUUUAGCAAACAAGAACACUAAAAACACUAUCAAUCUUCUCAUUUCUUGUAACAAUAUACAAAAUUUAGCAAAACAAGAACACUAAUAACACUAUCAAUCUUUCAUUUCUUGAUAACAUUUACAAAAUUUAGCAAAACAAGAACACUAAUAACACUAUCAUCUUUCUCAUUCUUGAUAACAAUAUACAAAUUUUAGCAAAACAAGAACACUAUAACACUAUCAAUCUUCUCAUUUCUUGAUAACAAUAUACAAAAUUUAGCAAACAAGAACACUAUAACACUAUCAAUCUUUUCAUUUCUUGAUAACAAUAUACAAAAUUUAGCAAAACAAGAACACUAAUAACACUAUCAUUCUUCUCAUUUCUUGAUAACAUAUACAAAAUUUAGCAAAACAAGAACACUAAUAACACUAUCAAUCUUCUCAUUUCUUGAAACAAUAUACAAAAUUUAGCAAACAAGAACACUAAUAAACUAUCAAUCUUCUCAUUUCUUGAUAACAAUAUACAAAAUUAGCAAAACAAGAACACAUAAUACACUAUCAAUCUUCUCAUUUCUUGAUAACAAUAUACAAAUUUAGCAAAACAACAACACUAAUAACACUAUCAAUCUUCUCAUUUCUUGAUAACAAUAUACAAAUUUAGCAAAACAAGAACACUAAUAACACUAUCAAUCUUCUCAUUUCUUGAUAACAAUAUACAAAAUUUAGAAAAACAAGAACACUAACAACAUUAUCAAUCUCCUUAUUUCUUGAUAACAAUAUACAAAAUUUAGCAAAACAAGAACACUAAAAACACUAUCAAUCUUAUCAUUUCUUGAUUACAAUAUACAAAAUUUAGCAAAACAAGAACACUACUAACACUAUCAAUCUUCUCAUUUCUUGAUAACAAUAUACAAAAUUUAGCAAAACAAGAACACUAAUAACACUAUCAAUCUUUUCAUUUCUUCAUAACAAUAUACAGGGAAGUAUGCUAAGAAAAAAGAAGCAAAAAAAUAACUCACGUAACAGAGUCCUAAAGAUGUGCGUACGGAUAUAGGAAGCAGCGGUGUGGCCUUUGAAGCCAUCAUAAAUUCCAACGAACAGUGCGUCAUGGCUUACAUCGUCCUAGUUGUGAUCUUCCAUAUCCUUAUUUUACUAACAGAAGCAAUGGAGAAUUCCCCAUGGCAAUGCCUUUCAUUUUUGGGAGAUUUUGGUAAAGGGUCAGCGUUAAAUGUUUCUUGAUAACAAGAACACUAAUAACACUAUCAAUCUUCUCAUUUCUUGAUAAUAAUAUACAAAAAUUAGCAAAACAAGAACACUUAUCAGACUAUCAACCUUCUCAUUUUUUGAUAACAAUAUACAAAAUUUAGCAAAACAAGAACACUAAUAACACUAUCAAUCUUCUCAUUUCUUGACAACAAUAUACAAAAUUUAGCAAAACAAGAACACUAAUAACACUAUCAAUCUUCUCAUUUCUUGAUAACAAUAUACAAAAUUUAGCAAAACAAGAACACUAAUAACACUAUCAAUCUUCUCAUUUCUUGAUAACAAUAUACAAAAUUUAGCAAAACAAGAACACUAGUAACACUAUCAAUCUUCUCAUUUUUUUGAUAACAAUAUACAAAAUUUAGCAAAACAAGAACACUAAUAACACUAUCAAUCUUCUCAUUUCUUGACAACAAUAUACAAAAUUUAGCGAAACAAGAACACUAAUAACACUAUCAAUAUUCUCAUUUCUUGAUAACAAUAUACAAAAUUAGCAAAACAAGAACACUAAUAACACUAUCAAUCUUCUAAUUUCUAGAUAACAAUAUACAAAAUUUUAGCAAAACAACAACACUAAUAACACUAUCAAUCUUCUCAUUUCUUGAUAACAAUAUACAAAUUUAGCAAAACAAGAACACUAAUAACACUAUCAAUCUUCUUAUUUCUUGAUAACAAUAUACAAAAUUUAGCAAAACAAGAACACUAACAACAUUAUCAAUCUCCUUAUUUCUUGAUAACAAUAUACAAAAUUUAGCAAAACAAGAACACUAAAAACACUAUCAAUCUUCUCAUUUCUUGAUAACAAUAUUAACAAAAUUUAGCAAAACAAGAAACACUAAUAACACUAUCAAUUUUCUCAUUUCUUGAUAACAAUAUACAAAUUUAGCAAAACAAGAACACUAAUAACACUAUCAAUCUUCUCAUUCUUGAUAACAAUAUACAAAAUUUAGCAAACAAGAACACUAAUAACACUAUCAAUCUUCUCAUUCUUGAUAACAAUAUACAAAUUUAGCAAAACAAGAACUACUAACACUAUCAAUCUUCUCAUUUCUUGAUAACAAUAUACAAAAUUUAGCAAAACAAGAACAUAAUAACACUAUCAAUCUUCUCAUUUCUUGAUAACAAUAUACAAAAUUAGCAAAACAAGAACAUAAUAACACUAUCAAUCUUCUAUUUCUGUAACAAUAUACAAAAUUUAGCAAAACAAAACACUAAUAACACUAUCAAUCUUCUCAUUUCUUGAUAACAAUAUACAAAUUUAGCAAAACAAGAACACUAAUAACACUAUCAAUCUUCUCAUUUCUUGAUACAAUACAACAAAUUUAGCAAACAAGAACACUAAAACACAUCAUCUCUUAUUUCUUGAUAACAUUACAAAAUUUAGCAAACAAGAACACUAAUAAACUAUCAAUCUUCUCAUUUCUGAUAACAAUAUACAAAUUUAGCAAAACAAGAACACUAUAACACUAUCAAUCUUCUCAUUUCUUAGAAACAAUAUACAAAAUUUAGCAAAACAAGAACACUAAUAACACUUCAAUCUUCUCAUUCUUGAUAACAAUAUACAAAAUUUAGCAAAACAAGAACCACUAAUAACACUAUCAAUCUUCUCAUUUCUUGAUAACAAUAUACAAAAUUUAGCAAAACAAGAACACUAUAACACUAUCAAUCUUCUCAUUUUUUUGAUAACAAUAUACAAAAUUUAGCACAAACAGAACACUAUCUAAUCUUCUCAUUUCUUGAAACAAUAUACAAAAUUUAGCAAAACAAGAACACUAAAACUAUCAAUUUCUCAUUUCUUGAUAACAAUAUACAAAAUUUAGCAAAACAAAGAAACACUAAUAACACUAUCAAUCUUCUCAUUUUCUGAUAACAAUAUACAAAAUUUAGCAAACAAAACACUAAUAACACUAUCAAUCUUCUCAUUUCUUGAUAACAUAUAACAAAUUUAGCAAAAACAAGAACACUAAUAACACUAUCAAUCUUCUAUUUCUUGAUAACAAUAUACAAAAUUUAGCAAAAAACAAGAACACUAACAACUAUCAAUCUCUUAUUUUCUUGAUAACAAUAUACAAAUUUUAGCAAAACAAGAACACUAAUAACACUAUCAAUCUUCUCAUUUCUUGAUAACAAUAUACAAAAUUUAGCAAAACAAGAACACUAAUAACACUAUCAAUCUUCUCAUUUCUUGUAACAAUUACAAAAUUUAGCAAACAAGAACACUAAUAACACUAUAAUCUUCUCAUUUCUAUAACAAUAUACAGUAGUAUUAAGAAAAAAGACGCAAAAAAAUAACUCACUAAUAACCCUAACGAAUGUGCGUACAUAUAGAAAGCAGCGUUCUUAACAUCUAAAUUCCACGAACAGUGCGUCAUGCUUACAUCGUCCUAGUUGUGAUCUUCAUAUCUUAUUUGACUAAAAAGCAUGGAGAAUUCCCAUGCAAUGCUUCUCAUUUUUGAAUUUUUAAAGGGUCAGCGUUAAAUGUUUCUUGAAACAAGAACACUAAUAACACUAUCAAUCUUCUCAUUUCUUGAUAACAAUAUACAAAAAUUAGCAAAACAAAAAACACUAAUAACACUAUCAACCUUCUCAUUUCUUGAUAACAAUUAUACAAUUUAGCAAACAAGACUAUACACUAUCAAUCUUCUCUUUUUGAUAACAAUAUACAAAUUUAGCAAACAAGAACACUAAUACACUAUCAAUCUUCUCAUUUCUUGAAACAAUAUACAAAAUUUAGCAAACAAGAAAAACUAAUAACAUAUCAAUCUUCUCAUUUCUUGAUAACAUAUACAAAAUUUAGCAAAACAAGAAACAUAAUAAACUAUCAAUCUUCUUUUCUUGAUAACAAUAUACAAAAUUUAGCAAAACAAGAACACUAAUAACACUAUCAAUCUUCUCAUUUCUUGAUAACAAUAUACAAAUUUAGCAAAAACAAGAACACUAAUAACACUAUCAUCUUCUCAUUUCUUGAUAACAAUAUACAAAUUUAGCAAAACAAGAACACUAAAACAUUAUCAAUCUCCUUAUUUCUUUAAACAAUAAUCAAAAUUUAGCAAACCAAGAACACUAAAAACACAAAUCAAUCUUCUCAUUUCUUGAUAACAAUAUACAAAAUUUAGAAAAACAAGAACACUAAUAACACUAUCAAUCUUCUCAUUUCUUGAUAACAAUAUACAAAAUUUAGCAAAACAAGAACACUAAUAACACUAUCAAUCUUCUCUUU
rnacentral:lncRNA from 1 species